rnacentral:rRNA from 1 species
CAGCCGCCGCGGUAAUACGAAGGAUGCAAGCGUUAAUCGGAAUUACUGGGCGUAAAGCGUGCGUAGGCGGUGAGUUAAGUCUGCUGUGAAAUCCCCGGGCUCAAUCUGGGAAUGGCAGUGGAUACUGGCUCGCUAGAGUGUGUCAGAGGAUGGUGGAAUUCCCGGUGUAGCGGUGAAAUGCGUAGAGAUCGGGAGGAACAUCAGUGGCGAAGGCGGCCAUCUGGGACAACACUGACGCUGAGGCACGAAAGCGUGGGGAGCAAACAGGAUUAGAUACCCCAGUAGUCCCUGUCUCUUAUAA